rnacentral:tRNA from 20 species
GUCCUUUUAGUGUAAUCGGGAGCACAUAUAGGUUUUUAUAUUUAGUUGAGGUUCAAAUCCUCAAAAGGACU